rnacentral:rRNA from 1 species
GAAGGGACCUAGCGUAGUUCGGAAUUACUGGGCUUAAAGAGCACGUAGGUGGUUAAGAAAGUUGGUGGUGAAAUCCCAAGGCUUAACCUUGGAACUGCCACCAAAACUUUUUAACUAGAGUAUGAUUGAGGUAAGCGGAAUUUCUAGUGUAGAGGUGAAAUUCGUAGAUAUUAGAAAGAACACCAAUUGCGAAGGCAGCUUUCUGGAUCAUUACUGACACUGAGGUGCGAAAGCAUGGGUAGCGAAGAGGAUUAGAUACCCUCGUAGUCCAUGCCGUAAACGAUGUGUGCUAGACGUUGGGAAUUUAUUUUUCAGUGUCACAGCAAAAGCGUUAAGCACACCGCCUGGGGAGUACGACCGCAAGGUUAAAACUCAAAUGAAUUGACGGGGACCCGCACAAGUAGUGGAGCAUGUGGUUUAAUUCGAAGAUACGCGCAGAACCUUACCAACACUUGACAUGUUCGUCGCGACUCUAAGAGAUUAGAGUUUUCGGUUCGGCCGGACGAAACACAGGUGCUGCAUGGCUGUCGUCAGCUCGUGUCGUGAGAUGUUGGGUUAAGUCCCGCAACGAGCGCAACCCUUACUUUUAGUUGCUACCAUUUAGUUGGGCACUCUAGAAGAACUGCCGGUGAUAAGCUGGAGGAAGGUGGGGAUGACGUCAAGUCCUCAUGGCCCUUAUGUGUUGGGCUACACACGUGCUACAAUGGUAUUUACAGUGGGAUGCAAAGAGGCAACUCCAAGCCAACCCUCAAAAAAUACCUCAGUUCGGAUUGUACUCUGCAACUCGAGUACAUGAAGCUGGAAUUACUAGUAAUCGCGGAUCAGCGCGCCGCGGUGAAUACGUUCCCGGGUCUU